CUCCUACGGGAGGCAGCAGUAGGGAAUCUUCCGCAAUGGACGAAAGUCUGACGGAGCAACGCCGCGUGAGUGAUGAAGGUUUUCGGAUCGUAAAACUCUGUUGUUAGGGAAGAACAAGUACUAGAGUAACUGCUAGUACCUUGACGGUACCUAACCAGAAAGCCACGGCUAACUACGUGCCAGCAGCCGCGGUAAUACGUAGGUGGCAAGCGUUGUCCGGAAUUAUUGGGCGUAAAGCGCGCGCAGGCGGUCCUUUAAGUCUGAUGUGAAAGCCCACGGCUCAACCGUGGAGGGUCAUUGGAAACUGGGGGACUUGAGUACAGAAGAGAAGAGUGGAAUUCCACGUGUAGCGGUGAAAUGCGUAGAGAUGUGGAGGAACACCAGUGGCGAAGGCGACUCUUUGGUCUGUAACUGACGCUGAGGCGCGAAAGCGUGGGGAGCAAACAGGAUUAGAUACCCUGGUAGUCCACGCUGUAAACGAUGAGUGCUAAGUGUUAGAGGGUUUCCGCCCUUUAGUGCUGCAGCUAACGCAUUAAGCACUCCGCCUGGGGAGUACGGCCGCAAGGCUGAAACUCAAAGGAAUUGACGG
rnacentral:rRNA from 1 species